rnacentral:rRNA from 1 species
GACAGAGGCCUCGAGCGUUAGGCGGAAUCACUGGGCUUAAAGCGUGUGUAGGCGGACCUCUAAGUACCUUGUGAAAUCCCACGGCUCACCCGUGGAACCGCUGGGUAUACUGGGGGUCUUGGGCCAUUCAGGGGCGACUGGAACAAGCGGUGGAGCGGUGAAAUGCGUAGAUAUCGCUUGGAACGCCGACGGUGAAAACAGACAGCUGGGAGUGUGCUGACGCUGAGACACGAAAGCCAGGGGAGCGAACGGG